rnacentral:misc_RNA from 1 species
AAUUCCGCUACUACCGAUAAGAAGGUAUUUUCCUUUCUCUUUUCAAUAUGUGGCUUUUUAGCUGCUCUUUUUGGAUCUCAGUUUAGCUACUUUUAUUUUACCCAUACUAUUCUGUUCGAUAAGAAACGAGGAGUGGAGAUAAAGUUCCUUGAAGCUUGAAAGCACGUGUUGGUACUUAUUGUUGAACUGAUCGGAAGGUUUGCAGCUUCAAAUUGUUGUAAAAUUGAUCAGUCACACACACUCACAGAUAAGCGAAAAAUAAACAAUAAAAAAAA